CGCGAAAUUCUCAUUGGUCAGAUGCUAUAAUUUAAAUGUUUCCGCUGAGCUCUAUAUAUGUCAACUGCUGAAAUUAUGCACAUAAAACACAUUAACUGAUCAAAUUGGUCUUGUCCGUCUUACCUCAAAGCACGAAAUGUUCUGUUUUGAGAAAACAGUAUUUAAAACAUUUGAACUUUUGCUUGAAUAUCUUAUAUUUCGAAAAACAGUAUAAACUGUACGGUCUAAAUUUAGUUUGCACGGUCU